UAACUGGCUUGUGGCAGCCAAGUGUUUAUUGUGACAUCUUUUUGAGAUCCUUCGAUCAAGGCUCUCCCUAUUACUGUGAAGUAGGAUUCACCAAGCUAUGGAUUAUUCACCUGCUAACGGGGAAUGUGGACUGGGUUCAGACCGUCAUGAGAGGUU
rnacentral:ncRNA from 1 species